rnacentral:rRNA from 1 species
UAGGGAAUCUUCGGCAAUGGACGGAAGUCUGACCGAGCAACGCCGCGUGAGUGAAGAAGGUUUUCGGAUCGUAAAGCUCUGUUGUUAGAGAAGAACGUUGGUAGGAGUGGAAAAUCUACCAAGUGACGGUAACUAACCAGAAAGGGACGGCUAACUACGUGCCAGCAGCCGCGGUAAUACGUAGGUCCCGAGCGUUGUCCGGAUUUAUUGGGCGUAAAGCGAGCGCCGGCGGUUCUUUAAGUCUGAAGUUAAAGGCAGUGGCUUAACCAUUGUACGCUUUGGAAACUGGAGGACUUGAGUGCAGAAGGGGGGAGUGGAAUUCCAUGUGUAGCGGUGAAAUGCGUAGAUAUAUGGAGGAACACCGGUGGCGAAAGCGGCUCUCUGGUCUGUAACUGACGCUGAGGCUCGAAAGCGUGGGGAGCAAACAGG